ACGACCUAACUAGAACAGGAUCUGUUCUAUAGGCUCGUACGUCUCUAUCCUUGUGAUCAAAGAAGACAGGAACCUCAAAACUGGUGGAUGAAGCAUGACCGUGUGAUCAGAGCGUGAUUAACAGCUUGGAUGGUCUGUGGACCGUCUGACGCAGUAGAUCAUUUCCACUCGGACUUCUGGCUGGGAUGGUCACACGGUUGUCUGACAGGUU